rnacentral:lncRNA from 1 species
CGCGCAGAGUCAUAAAUUACACGUAAUUUCACAGAGAAUCAUUAUCAUUUUUUUUCUCAGGCAUGCCGCUUUUGUCACACACACCGGCAAUGGGUAAGAGAUAACAGGAGCAUACUGUUUGCAUUUUUCAAGUGCUUUUCACAUAUUUAAAAAGCAUGCUCAGAUUUAUUAACUAAUGCAGUGCUUCAUGUAUUUAGCGGCCUCCCCACGGUAUUUCUGGAAGAUGUAUUGAACCAGUAGAUUGUUUCCUCUCAGAUCCCGCUGAGACUUGUUCAAGGAAUUCUAAGAUAUUUACAGUAAAUUAGAGGCUAAUUAGUUGAAAUGAAAUGCUACCACCUGGUCCUCCAUCAUUUAAAAAAUGGGGAGGGUGGGGGGAGAGAGACGACAUGAGGAUUUUGCAAAUGGAUCUGAUAUUUCAGGACUUGGCUUCCUUCCUCCAAAGGCUUUUAAUCAUAUCAAAAAUGUUGCCUGCAUUAUUAGGGUUCUCAGUGUAUCGGUUUCCCUUAAUUUUAUUUUUCCCCUUCCAGGGGACGGAGAGUCUUUAUUGUAUUAACAUUCUGGUAAUCAAGGCCAACCACAUUUAUGAUUCCUGCUACGGCAUUAAAAAUGCAUGUCCCAUUCAGAUUCUAUAAAUCUCAGAUUGGAGGAGGAAAUGAGCAGUUUAGAUGAUAAUUGAGUUGUAAGGAUCAGCAGAGGUUUGGUUUCCCCUUGUGCAAAGAGGAGGUUCAUCUCAGGUUUUACUCGACAGCUAUUAUUCCUUUCAAUAUGCUCACUAAAAAAACAUGUGCAAGAAGUUCUUCAAUUCUUCUUCCUGUAAGAGAAUAUUAUUUUCUGCUUGGAAAUGUACCUUUCUCCUAUGCUGGCUGGCAAAAGGGAGAUGACAAAACGGAUGUUCUGCUCUUAAUCUAAACAGUUUCUGAAACCACCUAAACAUUUCUUAUGUAGCUUUGGAACUGGUCUGACAUACUUGACAUAAACCAAGCACUGAGUACUGGAAAGGUUAAUGAUGGAGAUGGUACCCCUAAACAGGCAUUGUUGAUAAUAAUAAUAAUAAUAAUAAUAAUAAUAAUAAUAAUAAUAAUAAUAACAAUAAUAAUAAUAAUAAUAAUAAUAAUAAUAAUUUAUUAUUUAUACCCCGUCCAUCUGGCUGAGUUUCCCCAGCCACUCUGGGCGGCUCCCAAUCAAGUUUUAAAACAGUACAGUGUUACAUAUUAAAAACUUCCCUGAACAGGGCUGCCUUAAGAUGUCUUCUGAAUGUCAGGUAGUUGUUUAUCUCUUUGACAUCUAAUGGGAGGGCAUUCCACAGGGCGGGUGCCACUACCGAGAAGGCCCUCUGUCUAGUUCCCUGUAGCCUCACUUCUCACAAUUAGGGAACCGCCAGAAGGCCCUCGGCGCUGGAUCUCAGUGUCCGGGCUGAACGAUGGGGGUGGAGACGCUCCUUCAGGUCACAUGUGUAGGUCACAUGUGUAGGGGGCAUGCAGGGGGCAUCUGCUUGCCCCCCAACACGCCAUGCAUGCUGCCUCCAUCCACUCCACUCCCAAUCUCCCCAGGUGCCAAGCCAACAAGGGGGCACAAAAUUGAGAAGAUCUAUAAUUGAGAAGAUCCAUGUGAGGGUCUCACGCAGGCAGCCAUAUUACAAAAGAUUACCCAAAUCUGCCCCUGCAUGUGUGUGUGUAUCACGUGGGAAGACAGGCGAACGGGUGGCAAUGUGUUCUAAACCCACUGAGCCUCUUGGGCUUGCUGAUUGGAAGGUCGGCGGUUCGAAUCUCUGCGAUGGGGUCAGCUCCCGUUGCUCUGUCCCAGCUCCUGACAACCUAGCAGUUCAAAAGCAUUCCAGUGCAAGUAGAUAAAUAGGUACCACUGCGGUGGGAAGAUAAACAGCGUUUCCGUGUGCUCUGACACCCGUCACGGUCCUCCAUGCGUCAGUAGCAGUUUAGUCAAGCUGGCCACAUGACCCGGAAAACUGUCUGUGGACAAACGCCGGCUCCCUUGGCCUGAAAGCAAGAUGAGCACUACAACCCCAUAGUCGCCUUUGACUGGACUUAACCGUCCAGGGGUCCUUUACCUUCUACUGGAAGAAGCAAAGAUGACCAGUGUCGAAGCAAGAUUCUUCAACAUCAACUUCCUUGGACUGGUCGUGUUGUCAGAUGCCUGAUUAUUUUCUUCCAAAGCAACUACUCUGUUAACUUAAGAAUGGAGAGUAAACCAAACUGUCUGCACAAUAACUUAUUGGUUAGCUUUUGAAUGUUGGAAUAACUACUGAAUCUUCAAUCUUUCUUACAUAAAGUUUUUGAACCAGUCUGGGGGGGAAAAAAGAAUGGAGAGCGUAAUGCUGGUGGUCAACAAAAGACGUUUAAAGACAUCUCAAGGCAAAUCUUUAAAAAUGUACUAUAGACACCAAUAACUGGGAAACACUGGCCUGCGAGUGCUCCAGUUGGAGAACAGCCUUUACCAAAGGUGUCAUGGGCUUUGAAAACGCUCAAACUCAGGAUGAAAGGGAGAAACGUGCUAAGAGGAAGGCACGCUUGGCAAACUCUCACCUUGACCAACUCCCACCCGGAAACCUAUGUCCCCACUGUGGAAGGACGUGUGGAUCCAGAAUUGGCUUCCACAGCCACUUACGGACUCACUGUUAAGACCGUGUUCAUGGAAGACAACCUUACUUGGCUAUGAGUGAUAAUUGAAGAAGAAGAAAAAGUACUGAAUGGAAUUACGGUUCAGGGAUAUCAAGAUGACAGGUGAUUAAAUCCGAGAAACAGAUUGUGUAGAAAUCACCAGAUUUUAUCACACUGUUUUCCUUUUCCACUGAAAAAGUCAGUGUCCCUUUGUCAGAGAUCUGUCUCUUUGUGCCAUUGUCUUGGGUUUUUGGAUAUAACAAUAGUAAUAGUAAUAAUAAUAGUAGUAGUAAGAAUAAAGUAGCGGAGAGCUUUGUUAUUCUAAUGUUCAAUGGUGUUUCGUUUCACUUCUGCAGGACCUUUCCUCAUGUCAACAAAAUAUAACUUGAGUGACAGAAAACUGCCACAGAGAAGGCCUUCUCUUGCACCAGUAUCACCACCCCUGAAUUUCUGAAGGUGAAGGAACUGCCAAGAGGUGAAGGAACUGCCAAUAUUAGCACCCAGGACAGUCUGCAGGAAGGAGAGGGUCUUCCAGGUCUUACCCCUUCUCUCUGCACAGUGUACCUUGGUUGUCGAACUUAAUCCGUUUUAGGAGUCCGUUUGACUCCCAGAACAGUUCAAAAACCAAGGCGCAGCUUCUGAUUUGCUGUGGGAGCUUCCUGCACUCAAUUGGAAGCCGUGGAAGUCCCGUCGGACCUUCGGCUUCCAAAGAACAUUCAAACAUUUGGUUUCCAAAGAAUAUUCGAAAACCGGAACACUUCCUUCUGGGUUUUCGGCGUUCGGUAGUCAAGACGUACAAGUACUAAGGCGUUCGAGAACCCACGACUGUACUGUAUAUCUAUACCUACAGAUACUGAAUAUAUAUAUAUAUAUAUAUAUAUAUAUGCCAAAUUUCAGGGGGAAAACGAAACCAAACAAGAGCAGAACACAUUGCUGUGACGUCCAUGCACAAAUUCCAUAGCAGCCCGGCUGUUUAGCUACAAAUUAUUAUCUAACAUGGAAAGUUCCAUUAUUUAGCCCAUAAAAUCUGGCGCAUGAACAUUCACACUCUUAGCAUGGAAGGUUUUGCCUCGGGUUUAAUUGUUUCUGAUAGGCGCCAGCUCAAACAUUUACAGUUGUAGAGCCUGAGGUCUCCUGUUCUGUAGCACCAUUGAAAUUUGAAUCAAUGGCUCCUAAAUUUUUAAUGAAACAAUAAACUCCCCUUAAUGUUUUAAUGUAAAAUUUCUUUUCAUCCUAUGUGCCUGAAGUAUCAAUCUCAUAUAUCAAAUAGGUGAAGGGAAUGAAGCAAUUUCCAUGGGUCACGCCGACUUAAGAUGUGACAUGAUUAUGCAGUUACAUCGAAACAACCUCUGCUUUCAACAAUCCUCUACUUGUUCCCCUUUCUCUCUUUUCUGAACCAAGGCUGCAUAUGAAUUCCAUCAAAGCCGUACAAAGCUGCGCUGAUAUCAAUGCUUUACUUAACUCUCCCACUGAGUUUGCGGAAGGGAAGAAUAUACAGUGGUACCUCGGGUUACAGGUGCUUCAGGUUACAGACGCUUCAGGUUACUGACUCCGCUAACCCAGAAAUAGUACCUCGGGUUAAGAACUUUGCUUCAGGAUGAGAACAGAAAUCGCAUGGCGGUAGUGCGGCGGCAGUGGGAGGCCCCAUUAGCUAAAGUGGUACCUCGGGUUAAGAACAGUUUCAGGUUAAGAACAGACCUCCAGAAUGAAUUAAGUUCUUAACCCGAGGUACCACUGUAUAGGAUUGCAUUCCUGUUGCCUCCUUGAAACCAGUGCAACUCCAAGAACAGUGGAGUUACGAACUCUUCUGGUUACGAAUGCUUCAGGUUACAAGCUCCGCUAACCCAGAAGUAGCUGCUCCUAGUUGCGAACUUUGCCCAGGAUACGAAUGGAAAUUGCGCACCGGAGUUGCGUGCGCAGUGGGAGGCCCCAUUAGCAAAAUAAAUAAACAUUAUACAGUGGUACCUUGGGUUACAGACACUUCAUGUUACAGACUCCGCUAACCCAGAAAUAGUACCUCGGGUUAAGAACUUUGCUUCCGGAUGAGAACAGAAAUCACGCAGCAGCAGCAGGAGGCCCCAUUAGCUAAAGUGGUACUUCAGGUUAAGAACAGUUUCAGGUUAAGAACGGAGCUCGAGAAUGAAUUAAGUUCUUAACCCGAAGUACCACUAUAUUGAGAGAAAUCAAUAUUAAAAUACAGUGGUACCUUGGUUCUCAAACUUAAUCCGUUCCGGAAGUCCGUUCGACUUCCAAAGCGUUCUAAAACCAAGGCGCGCUUUCCCAUAGAAAGUAAUGCAAAAUGGAUUAAUCUGUUCCAGACUGUUAAAAACAACCCCUAAAACAGGAAUUUAACAUGAACUUUACUGCGUUCCACACAGUCUCAAAAACAAAUUAACUGAAAAAGCCGCCAAAACAAAAACACAAAAUAAAUAGCAAAAACAAAAUGCCCAAAUAUAAGCUCCAAAUAUCACCUCCAUGUCACGUGGGUGCUCGGGACUCGCCAGCUGACAGACCUCAGUGUAGCACUCAAAUCGGAAGCGUAACACUCAAAUUGGAAGUGUAACACUCAAAUCGGAAGCGUAACACUCAAAACGGAAGGAGAUAAGUAACUAUACAACCUUUAGAAGACAUCUGAAGGCAGCCCUGUAUAGGGAAGGUUUUUUUUAAUGUUUAAUGUUUGAUUGUGUGUUUUAUAUAUGUUGGAAGCCGCCCUGAGUAACUGGGGCAACCCAGGCAGAUGGGCAAGGUAUAAAUAAUAAAAUUAUUAUUAUUAUUAUUAUUAUUAUUAUUAUUAUUAUUAUUGAAUCGGACGUCUAUAUUUUCAUCAUAGAAAUGUUGGAAGGUAUGCCCUUAUCAAACUACAGUUCCCAGAAUUCUUUGGGGGGGGGAGGAAGUCGUGACUUUUCAGAUACUUCUUUAAAUGUGCAGGGUAAUUAGGGCCUAAGAAGAUGAUAACCUCUUGAACUGGUGUCCUCUGUGAAAUCGUAAGAGGUUUACUCAGUUAACACACUUCCCAAAGGUUAAGCCGGGCUUCCUCAACCUCGGCCCUCCAGAUGUUUUGAGACUACAAUUCCCAGCAUCCCUGACCACUGGUCCUGCUAGCUAGGGAUCAUGGGAGCUGUAGGCCAAAAACAUCUGGAGGGCCGAGGUUGAGGAAGCCUGAGUUAGGCCCAAAUAAUUUGUUGUUGUUGUUGUUGUUUAGUCGUUUAGUCGUGUCCGACUCUUCGUGACCCCAUGGAGCAGAGCACGCCAGGCACUCCUGUCUUCCACUGCCUCCCGCAGUUUGGUCAAACUCAUGCUGGUAGCUUCGAGAACGCUGUGCAACCAUCUCGUCCUCUGUCGUCCCCUUCUCCUUGUGCCCUCCAUCUAUCCCAACAUCAGGGUCUUUUCCAGGGAGUCUUCUCUUCUCAUGAGGUGGCCAAAGUACUGGAGCCUCAGCUUCACGAUCUGUCCUUCCAGUGAGCACUCAGGGCUGAUUUCCUUCAGAAUGGAUAGGUUUGAUCUUCUUGCAGUCCAUGGGACUCUCAAGAGUCUCCUCCAGCACCAUAAUGCAAAAGCAUCAAUUCUUCGGCGAUCAGCCUUCUUUAUGGUCCAGCUCUCACUUCCAUACCUCACUACUGGAAAAACCAUAGCUUUAACUAUACGGACCUUUGUUGUCAUGGUGGUGUCUCUGCUUUUUAAGAUGCUGUCUAGGUUUGUCAUUGCUUUUCUCCCAAGAAGCAGGCGUCUUUUAAUUUGCUGCAGCUUUACUAAAUAACAAUAACAAAAUCCUAGCAAUUUACAGGGCUCUGUAUCAUUCAAUGCGCUCAGUCCACUUGUUUGUAGUGAGCCAUAAAAUUCCUCACAAAACUACAGGGGUUUGCUGCCUUUAUGUAAUCCUGUCGGUGUCUCUCAUGGCAAGCUAGCUAGCAAACACGAAAAAAGAAAGGUCAGCCAAAAUGCAGCGGCUUGUCUAGCCAGGGUUUUGCGCAUGUGUGCAAGCCAGAAUGUGUGCUAACAGCUGGAGGGUUGGAGAGAGAGAGGAAAUCCUCACAUUACCCUCCCAAAGUCUCCCAACUAGAGACAUAGACAGAUGACCUGAUCUCUUUGCAGGGUCACUUAUAACACUCGCCUUCUCCUCCAACUGGCGCGCAGAGAAGAUGUCUAAGCUUUCGGAGGAUUUGAAUGUUUAAUCUGGGUUACUCAAAGGACAAGGAAGAUUACGGGAUGAUCCACAACCUGCUUAAGAUCGACCACUUCAGUUUCGGCCGAUUCUGGUCUCGUCGGCGUCAGUGGGUUUCAAAUGAAUGAAAGCCAGGGUCUCUGGCUAUGCUGAACUAAGACUCCGAUGUUUGCACUCAUCGAAAAGUAAUAAUCGAUCUGAUAGCUGGUUGUUGAACUAGUUCAGUUCCAAACAUUAAAAAAACUUGGGUGCUGUGAUUUGCCGUUUUGGACUUUUCAAUAACAUCCAUUCUUUAGGUUGUGUUUAUACUGUCAGAAAGCGACUUCCUUGUUGUUUUAGGUGAUGUUAGAGGUCAAGAAAGAGAGAUUAUAGCUCCAUAGCUGCCCUGAUUGAAAUAACUUUUGCUUG